rnacentral:rRNA from 1 species
ACGCUCGACACCUACGGGAGCAGCAGUCGGGAAUAUUGCGCAAUGGAGGAAACUCUGACGCAGUGACGCCGCGUAUAGGAAGAAGGUUUUCGGAUUGUAAACUAUUGUCGUUAGGGAAGAAAAAAGACAGUACCUAAGGAGGAAGCUCCGGCUAACUACGUGCAGCAGCCGNGGUAAUCUGAGCGGGCUGGCAAGGC